rnacentral:lncRNA from 1 species
UGGUGUGAAACAGGAGGAAAAGGGGGGUCGCAAGCGUUCAGCACGGGUUUUAUUGGGGUUGAAUUGUGCGUAUAAGGCAAUGACCCCCGGGGAAAUGGGGAUUGGGAGAGAUAUUCUCCUUUGGGAGUCCUCCCUGAACACGGCGAGAGGAGGUAGAUGAAGUUAGCUGACGACAGGGUCCACUGGUUAGUGAAAGGAAGAGAGGGAGAGAACUGCGCGAGUUGGGCCGCUGCUGGGCUGUGUUUGCAUGAGAGGAGGGUGAAUGUGGACAGGCCGGGAGGGAAGGGAGGAGGGGUCUUUUGGGCCAAAUCUAGGGAGAGGGAGAGAGAGAGAGAGAGGGAGCUUUUGCCAUCCUGCUUUGUUUGUUUUUUCUUUUCUUUUAUUCCAAAGCCAUUUCAACUCAUUUCAAAAUCAUUUUAAAUCAUUUUGAAUUUUAGGUUCAAAUACACUCAUCACAAUAAAUAAAAUGCCAAGGUAUGCAUGGUCAAACACAUUGCUAACUCCUAUGAUAAUUUUUUGAAUUUAAUGAAAAAUAUUAUUUUCCUAUAUUCUCAUGAGCACAAAAAUAACAAAUUAAAUGAUUUUGGAGCUACUUUCAAGGAAACAAUUUUUUAGGGUGUUACAAAUCUAUCUCCCUUAAAAUGAAUCUCAUCCUCGAGAUUCGGAAAAGGCACGGAUUCCAAAAGACAAAUAGGAAAAAGAUCUUGAUAACUAUCUCAACUUUACAACUUGCAUACCAAAGAUAAACUCAAAUUUUCCAUAGAAUGUCUAUUAUUCAUAAUUGAUCAAGGUCCAUCUUGACUACCAACUUUUUGACUUGUACAACUCAAGACAUGGUAACUUAGCAUGGAUAUGCCUCCUUAGGUAGGAGUGGACCACCUUGAUACUCAAUUCUUUUCCCUGAUGGUGUAGUUAAGAAAAUUUUCCACUGGGUAGCAUAGAUCACUCCUUUGUGUGCACAUAACCAUCCAUUGCCAAGAACCAAGGGAAUGUUGAGUGACUCUAGCACAAUGAGGUUUACAGUGAAGUUUUCCUUCUUUAUGACAAGAUUGAUAUUUGAGUAAACCUGAUCUGCCUGUAUUUCUCCCAUUGGGGUUUGAACUAAUAAAGGCUUCCUUGUCGGACACUUCACCCGUUCGAUCGUCUUUACCAAGUCGGCGGAAAUGAAAGAAUGCGAAGCACUUCGGUCAAAGAGAGCAAAACCUAGCACUGAGUCCACUUGAAUAUAGCCUCCCACCACUUUGCUGGCUCCUUGAAUGUUAUUCAUAUCCACAUUGUUCAGUCUCCCAUUGAUAUAAUUUCGCUGCGCCUAACUUCCAGGAGCAGGCUUCUUACGGGCUUUUCUUUGACGCUUCCGUCGUUGUGGAUUUUGAUUUGAUUCAUUGUCAACUUGCACUUCAAUAUUAUUAUUUUGAUAGUACUCAGCUUUAUCAUACUCAUAGCAUCUUUCUUCAAAGGCAAGAUGAUCAUAGUCUUCCCAUCUAUCUAUGAGAGGCAUCAUGUUGUGCUCCGAAUCCAUGGGACACUACACUCGCUGUCAUCAAGUGACCAACAUCAGUAACAUGGCAAGGGUAGAUGAUCAUAAUCAUAGGAUACUCAAGACGACAAUUAUCACUUCAAGAUAGUUUAAAUAUGCAUCAUCCAGUGAUAUCAAGGUACUACUCUCCUUAAGACGAGACUGAUUGGGGAACACUAAGACAAGCUCUCCUAUCCUUUUUGAAUGCUACACAUCAUAGUCUUUCAAAUUUGCUUGUACCAAGUCUCUUAGUCCAAGAUUGGUUUUAUCACCGAGUUCCAUCUAUUGGUACCUUUAUCACAAUCAAGUUGUUUCACUCUCCUAUUGUAUAUAUAAUAUCUUGAAACAAAACCAAAUUUACCGAACACUUGUUAUCCACACAUAUGAUCCAACAUUAGCCAAUCCUUCUCAUUGUAGCUUCUUUAAUUAGGCUACCCCCCUUAAAAGGGUCAACUAGGGGACACAAGAAAGGUAGCUUGCAUGUUUUCCAGACAAGUUAAUUAAUAUUGAGAACUUCUUACAUCCCAAAGAGCUUAUGUGCAAGAGAACAAUCAGGUAUCCUGAAAUUUUCUUGUGAUAUGAAAAAUACUAGCAUAGUAAAAUAGACAUAACUCUUAUUCUCUGAAUCCAAUAGAAUUUUAGCUUAUACCAUUAGAAAACUUAUGAAAUUCUCUACAACUUUCAUGUAGAAUACCUUCUCAGAUUCUGUCUUUAAGCUCAGGUAAAGUAUCCAAAUAUAAUACCCAUCCUGUCAAUGUCUCAGCAAAGGUGCAGUAAGUUCCAGAAGAUAUAUAUCGAGCUACUCAACUCAUCUGGAAAUGAUCCUUACAUUUUUCAAAAGCUUAGGAAAUCCUUUACAACCUUCGUAUACAAAUUUUUCUCAGAUUCUGAUGUUAAGUUGUCUGAACUUAGAAAUACUAGAUCUGUCCAGAUUUUGAAACAGAACAGAAACAUCCAAGUGUAAUUAUCAUAUCUCAGGUUCUACUUAUCCGAAUAAGUUCCAGCUUAUACUGUUCGAAAGCUUAGAAAAUUGUCUAAAACUUUUCCAUAGAACACGUUUCCAAAUUCUAUAUUCAUAUUUGUCUCAAACAGCAAGUACCCGAAACUGGUCCAGAUUCUGGACAGCACAACUGUGUCAUCUUGUGAUUUUUGUAUCUUCCAAUCCAUAAUAGCUCUGAGGGUGAUUCUUGCUGCCAGAGAAAGAUAUUGAAGUCUAGUUGUUCCCAGAAAAAUUUGAUAAACUUUGCACGAACAGAAUUUGGGAUAUACCAGAAUUGUUGCAGACUGCUCCAGAAAUCAGCAAAGGACAGAAACAGAUAUACCCAAACCCAACUACUUAUUUCAUUACUCCUUAUGCCUUAGGCCUAUAAACUAAAUGAAAUUGUGAAGAAAUCCCACAAGAUCAUUGCAAUCAUUACAAAGAUCCAAAUCAAGCAUAAACAUAAUAACAACCCAUUAAGCAUUAAAGGUUCACACUUCACUCAACUUUCGCCACUAGCGUUUUUAUUACACAAGGGGGACACAAACUCCUAAAUUUUAGGCUCGGUGUGACUACUUUCAUGAUGCAUCAGUUGCUUCUUUUGUGGACAAGAGCUUAUAUAAUGUCCUUCUUGUUGGCAGUGAUAACACCUUCUCUUAGCUGGGUCCUUUGUGAUGUUACUUUCCACUGAAGUGUUGCUCGGUGUGUUAUCAACUUGCUGACUCUGAUGGUUUAUCUUUGCCUUGUUAGAUUUCUUUCUACAUUGCUUGAUCAAUCCGAGGUUGAAAUUCUGUAUAAGUAAUUGUCCACCCAUCUAUGCAUACCUCAUGAGCAGUGGGGUUAGCUCGAGGAGUUUCUUUGUCUCCAAGGUUUGAAUUUUCCCGACAAGAAUUCGAAGCUACAUGUGACAACUUAGGAUUGGGAUGUUGAUCACUUCCCAAUGCUGGCUCUAGUGAUUUUACCUUCCUCUUCUUAUCCUCAUUAGUCACACAAGUUGGUUUUGUCUUAACUUCCUUUUUAGAUGACCUUUUUCGAAGACAAAGGAGACCAUAAUGCUCACAACAAGGGCAUUGAUCCUGAUAUCCUGAUGUAUUACUCCCAACACUUCCAUGAGUUCUCAUAUUUUUCCAAGCUUCUGCUACUUGUCUCCUCACUGGUCCUGAGAUGCGUUGCUGAGAGUUCUUAUUCUGAGUUAUUCCUACCACUACUUAUGUUUGCAUGGCCUGAAGCUUCUCCUUGUCGAAUGCUUUCACGGUUGGCAUGUCUAGGUGCUUUGGUUCCUUCUUGCCUAAGGUGUCCUCGUUAUGAUCCAUCUAAAGAGACAAUAAGGAGGAUUUAGAGUGGAGAAAGGUUUUAUAAUUGAACUGGGCAAGAAGUAAGCAUAACCUUUAGCAACUAUCAAGGUUAAGGUGAAAGCAAGAAGUAAGCAGAGAUAGAAGCAUUAUAAAAUGUCCAAUUCUAACUAGGAUUGCGUCCUAGAGUCAGCAUUGCUCUGAUACCACUUUGUAAUACCCGAUUUUAAGGAUAACACUAGAUAUGCACCAUAUGUGAGUCUUAGAAGUCAAAUCUCACAUAUAGCUACAAAUAAAGGGUAAUAUCAAAAGACAAUGCAUAAAUUAUAUAACGUACAUAAUAAAUUAGAAAUAACCUUAAGUAGAAAAUAACGGAAGAUAACUCCAACUUCAGGUAUUAACUCCACUCUAUAGGAUCCAACUAACUGGUUGAUCACAAGCCUAACACUCUUCCUAAAGUUUUGGGAAAAUAGCAAGAGUGAGUCCAUGUCGAACUCCACAAGUAUAGCAAUUAGAUUGUAUAGAUCCCACAAUCUCAUGAUCAAUGUGACAAAUAAUGUAAAGCAUUGAAUAAUAAAUAAUGAGCAUAUUUAACACACAAUAAUCAUCACCUUAAUGUAGAUGUCCCCAAGGCCGCUCCUGACCGUGAGCUCGGCUAGUAUAAUAGUUUUUAACACUCUGAAGAGGUUGCACAUCUUUAUCCAUGAGUCAUGAUUUACCCUUUUGCCCGAGGUAGCUACUCUCUUAACCCCCUUCCAAGGGAGGUUGGCAGGAUCACUAUGAAGUCUUUCAAAGGUUCGUCUAACAAGUUAGGGCCACUUGGUUUCAUUAGUCAGUCCAUGUGAUCCACCUGGAGGAAUCCACGGUCUGCUAUUCCCCAAUUGCGCCACAACGGGUAACCGCUAACGAGCUAGAAAAGUUACUCAUCUUUAACUAAAGCCAGAGCCAUUAUAGCCCUCAUGGUUGCACUGUUGUCCCGGUUAUCACUUACAGAUAAAUCAUCAAGUGGCUAAAAAGUCAUUUUUAUCAUUUAUUACUUAACAUUAAUCUAGUCACAAGAUCAUGGUCACAGAAUAUAAAACCCAAAUGCUAUACUUGCCUUAGUUCAAAUGCUCUUGUUGAUCUUGCUAGUUGUCCAAGGUUCUGAUCUUGAUCACUGAAGCACUCUUGAUCAACACGAAUUGCUCACCGGCUAAACUCGAUCAUCGAUCAUCAAUCACACAAACAACGGAGACAACAUACACGAUGCAAACAAGGCUACAAUUAGAACAGUACACCAAUCAUAUAAAAACAGUAUGAAAAUUUUAUAAAAUGAUUCUACGCAUCGCUACGAUCUCACAGACAUAAAGAUCACGAAAAUUGGAUUUAAAACGAAGGAGAUAUGAAUUUUCUACGAUUUUAUAUAGAAAAGUAAUUAAUUAAUUAAGGUCACGAAAUUAAAAAGUUUCAAACUGAUGAAUUAAGUUUACUAACAUGUAGAUCUUUCAAAUACGAACGCAACGCAAUUUGAAUGGGUCAAAACAGAAUUAAAAUGAAUAUUUUAGAGCCAAAACAAGUUUAGGGGCAAAAAUUGUAAAUAGCAGAAAGCGUAUUUUGAAUCAAGCCGAGGCGGUUUACAUUUUCAACACAGCAAAGCGUAUUUGGAAAAAAGGUGCCAGGGACCACGGGUUCGAUAAUUAAAAACUUCAUGGGCUCUUUAGAAAAUGUUACCCCGAAGGGGUAACUUCUAUUCUGGGCCACAGGAUCCCGAUCGGACGGACCGAAAUCACCCAUGGGGGUUCCGGCCUGCCGGCCACCGGACAGAACUCCGGCGCGGUGGCGCCAUGACAGGGAGCUCAGAGCUCACCGGAGCUCAUCGAACUAGCGCUACAAUGCACUAAAACCGAAACCAAAGGCACGAGAAGGUAGAGGAGGUUACCACGAGCUCACCUGGGGCAAGAUCAAGGCUUGAGAAAAGCUUGAAGGUAACCGACGGCUCGGGAUGGCGGAUCGGAGUUCAGCGGGACUUCGGCGUCGUGUAAUGAAUCUCUAGAAGCACAAGAAAAAGUAAGGAACGAUCUUGCGGCUCCGCAAGGACAUCUCAAACCACGGCAUCAAACUCGCAGAGGCAAAGAAACAGCACACUACGGCAUUCUCGGCAGUGGUUCAACGUCAGGCUCGGCGAGAUCCAACGCGAGGCCGAAGCAGGACUAGACGACUCCUUGGCGUGAAACAGGAGGAAAAGGAGGGUCGCAAGCGUUCAGCACGGGUUUUAUAGGGGUUGAAUUGUGCGUAUAAGGCAAUGACCCCCCUUGGAAAUUGGGAUUGGGAGAGAUAUUCUCCUUUGGGAGUCCUCCCUAGACACGGCGAGAGGAGGGAGAUGAAGUUAGCUGACGAGCGGGGUCCACUGGUCAGUGAAAGGAAGAGAGGGAGAGAACUGUGCGCGAGUUGGGCCGCUGCUGGGCUGUGUUUGCGUGAGAGGAGGGUGAAUGUGGACAGGCCGGGAGGGAAGGGAGGAGGGGGGCUUUUGGGCCAAAACCAGCGAGGGAGAGGGAGCUUUUGCCAUCCUGCUUAUUCCAAAGCCAUUUCAACUCAUUUCAAAAUCAUUUUAAAUCAUUUUGAAUUUUAGGUUCAAAUACACUCAUCACAAUAAAUAAAAUGCCAAGGUAUGCA